CCACAGAGCAGGGAAGUGGUAACAAACUGUUGCUUUUUUCUGCCUCAGAAAACUACUGACAUAUCUUCUAAAUGGAAAUAAUUGAAGAGAAUCAUCACGUUAAUACGGACCCAAAAGACUCAAAUAUAUCAGGAGAUAUAUCAGGAGAUAUAUCAGAGUAUAUGGGAAGAUGGCUAUUGCACAAAAGGAUUUGGAUGUGGGGAAAAAUGGAAAUAUGCUGAAAUAAUCAGGGCAGUCCUAGACACCACAGACAGUGUGCAAGCCUCAAUGACUGGACCUCACAUAAAGACUUAUACAUACUAGAACACACGUGUAUGGGCAAGUCAUGCCCUGCACCCUCUGAGAACAAAACCAACAAAACCACUGCAAAAAUGCUGUCCAUGGCCAGCAGGUUUGGUAACACAGUGCUUAGCACAUCAAUCACAUGAAAUUAUAAACAGCAGUUUACACAGUUUGGAAUGUGUAAACCUUUGAAUUUGCUUUAUAAGUAGCCUCUUUUUAUCCAAUCGCUGUAAAUUUGGUACAAUCAGGCUAAUUUCCAAGAGCUUCCCAAUGGGAUUCACAAUGUUAUGUUUGACUAUUGAUUAACUGUUAUUUGGAAAAUCCAUGUUUGACACUUGUGUUGAAAGGACAUCCGUGACAUCUGUUACAUAACCUGAAUCUCCAUGUUAGCUGUUUUCCUUAAAGAGUGCUGCAGUGAUCACAGCACGGCUUCGCUCUGUUUACAAGGCCUGCCAGCCUCUGUUAGCAGUGGGUUAGGGGAUAAUAGCACAGUGAAUGCACAAGUUAAACGGCACUUAACGGCGGUGGUCUAACCAGAGGUACGAAGAAGCUGACAAAUUGUCUUUUGACGUCACCAUGUCAUAAAGUAGUUCCGUUUUUUUAAAUAAAUAUUUAUGUUGGGCUGUG